rnacentral:lncRNA from 1 species
GUCCUUGCCCAGUGUAAGUUUCCUGGAGCUGCAGCAGCCUUUUUGUCACCAUGAGGGCAGCUGGUGGGAACCCUAGGAAAGCAGGAAAUCACCUAGAGCCGGAACAGCCUGAGCCUCUGAACCAACCCACAGCUGACUACCCGUCACUUUGUCGUGUCUCUGUGAUUUGAGUCCAUCAUUCUGCUGCAGUUGAAGUUCUACAGACUGUACACGAAGCAACGGUGUCAGCAUCUGCUUCCAGUGGGGCCUCAGGAAGCUUUCAAUCAUGGCAGAAGGCCAAGGGGCAGCGGGGUCUCACGUGGCAAGAGAGGGAGGAGGAGGUGCCAGCCUCUUUAAACAAUCAGCUCUUGCAUGAACUCUUAGAGCCAGAACUCACUCACUACCUGGAAGACGGCAUGGAGACAAUAAUGAGGGAUCCACCCCCAUGACCCAAACUCCUCCCACUAGGCCCACCUCCAGCACUGGUGGUCACAGUUCAACGUGAGAUUUGGAGGGGACAAACAUCCAAACCGUAUCACCCCUCAACCCCUCAACUACACCUGGUUUGCUCCUUGUUUUCUAGAUUUUGACUGAAAUGUCCCCUUCCCGGCAAAGCCGUGUGGACCACCCGGGCUAAAGCAGCCACCUGGUGCUGGCCUGUGUGGCCCAAUUCCAGUUCUCCAGGGUGCUCAUCACUCUGUGGCAGUUUGUCUUCUGGUUUGUGAGAGAAGAAUAAAUCUGAGGGACCCAAAAUCACUAAAGGGAAAAGUCAAGCUGGGAACUGCUUAGUGCCAACCUGCCUCCCCUUCUAUUCAAAGUCACCCCUCUGCUCAAUGAAAUAAAUGCAUAUCUGAUUGCCUCCUUUGGAGAGGCUCAUCACAAACUCAAAAGAA